UACGUAGUGGGCUAGCGUUGUUCGGAAUUACUGGGCGUAAAGCGCUCGUAGGCGGCUUUGUAAGUUAGAGGUGAAAGCCCGGAGCUCAACUCCGGAAUUGCCUUUAAGACUGCAUCGCUAGAAUCAUGGAGAGGUUAGUGGAAUUCCGAGUGUAGAGGUGAAAUUCGUAGAUAUUCGGAAGAACACCAGUGGCGAAGGCGACUAACUGGACAUGUAUUGACGCUGAGGUGCGAAAGCGUGGGGAGCAAACAGG
rnacentral:rRNA from 1 species